GUGCAUGUAGUAUUUAUCUGUAUUGUAUGUAUCUAUCUAUGUGUCUUAUGUCUUCAUAUAUGUUCAGAAAAGCUGGACAGAUACUUAUUUGAAUGGAGAGAGGGAUAACAAGAUAUGUGUAAAAAGAGAUUGAGUGUGAACAUAUUUUAUGUAGAUGGGUGGCAGAUGAAAGUCUGCUGAAUAGGUAAGGAGGACAGCAGAUGGUAACUCAGUAUGAAUUUGGUGAAAAGCCAAGAUGUUGAAUAAGUAUAUUGCAGCUUUCAUCACUCCCCAUUUUAGUAUAUAUUUCAUGAAGCUUGCACAGGUAGUUCAGCUUCUCCAACACUGUGUACUACCAGUCAACACUAUCUUUUGUCAUCCCCUUUGUGAAUUGUAAUAACUUGAGAUUAAUUUUCCUGAGUCUCCCACCUCCACAAGCUCCAUUGAUUCUAAGCAUUUGGCACUUCCCUAUACAAUUGCCCUCCUCCAUAUGUCACAUAUUGUACUAGUGCAGUCUUUUCUCUUACACUCUACAUUUGAUUCAUAUUUAUCUGGUUUUCCUCUCAUUUCAUUUGUACUCUGAUAUUAAUGCACUUAACAUUAUGUACCCAGCAAAGCAUACUUGCUUCCUUUCUUUCUUGUAUUCACAAGUCCUUUGCAUUCAUGUUGACAAUCGGCAUGUAUGUCAUGCUGCUAGACAGCAUUGCACUUCACACAAGCAUUAUAAAAUCUGCCCUUUGCCCUCAAAGAGAAGCCCUUUGUUGCUAGUAGAGAUAAUUGAUUAUGUCACAAAAGUUAUUGACUGCUUAUGGAAAGCAGUCCAGGUGUUUUGAGAUAAUCUAUGCUCUGAUUGUGCUUAAUGGAUAUUAGGUCAAUGCAUAUGAUACUGCUAUGAAGUCUACCUUCCAUUUAAUCUGAUUUUUGGUCCCAGUUUUUUUAUUUUUUUUUUUUAUCAGACCAUGCAAUUUGCAUCCUCCUACCAACACUUUUCACAUUAUUCCUUAAACAAUAAUAGUUACUGGGAUAAAUGUUGCUAUUGUGAGAAGUAGUGGUAGUAUCUGGGCCAGUAUUAAAGUUAUGCGUGUGGUGGUCAGGAACAUUAUUUUACUGGAUAUUUUACUGUCUUGGAUCCAUGCUCUUGGACUUUUACUAUCUCGGAUAUUCACCCUCAGACUUAAAUUCUUUAACCUUUGUUUUUUCAUGUAAAAAUACUCUUUUUAUGCCAGUAUUUUCUAAUUUACAUACAGAUGCUAACUAUGGACAACACUCAUGUUUGUCUACCACAAUAUGUUUUUGAAUUACUUAUACACAUACAGACAAGAACACUUUAUAUUGCAUACUGCCAUGUCAUCACCUUUGCACAUCUAGUUACAAAUAUUUGCUCACUAAGCCUCUCGUGCACAUUUUCAUACUACCCAGCAAAAAUACAUACUUGUACUUUCACAGAUAUACACAUAAUAUAACCUUCCUAACACCCAUUCAAAUACUAUCUUCCUCUUACUAAGUGAAAUCACUGACACCCUACAUACUCACUCAUUGCAUUUCUUGAUCCUUAAUAGAAUAGCAUUCUCUGAUUUACAGCUCUUUACAUUGCUCUUGUCCUAUCAUUUUUGUCUGUCUCUCUGUCUCUCUUUCUUCUCUCAUGUGUAUUUGUGUGUGUGUAUAUACAUAGGCAUAUAAUGUACAUCAAUACUCACACACAUAAAUGCAUAAAUAUGUGAGAAAAUUUUUAAGAUGUAUGAUUUAUCAUUCUUUAUUGUCUUUCUAAUAUUCUUUAGAAUUUACAUGAAAUCCUUCAAUGUGAACUCAGGUUUUACCAAUCAAAACGAGUACAACUGCAAUUGUAAUUCCAAAUGUUGUCUCAUAUUCAAUAUGGUUAGUCUGGAUUUUAACAAAGCGCUCAUAAAGUAUCUGCCGGGAUUAAAAACCCCUAUUCCUUUGUGUUACACACACACACAUACACACAAUGGGUGAGGAGGUGCUAAUAUAAGCAUACAAUUGAUGAACACCAGAUUACUAUUUGGAAAAGUCCAAAAUUCUUAAAAUCCAGUAAAAAUGAUUCACAGAACAAAAGCCAGCUAUAAGAACUGUGUAACUCAAGCAUAAAAUAAAAUGCUAAAAGAUGAACAAAUGCAUAUGUAUGGCGUAAUAUCCGUUGUAUCAUUUAUAUACUAUGUUAUAUAAGCAUAACCAAACUAUAACAACUGCAGCAAAAAUGCUCCUAGAUAGUUCUUUACAACUGUUUCAAAACUUUUGUGACUGAUAGAGUUGUAUGUAUUAUGCAAACGGGUGGUGCAUAUUGAUGUAAUAUACAUCAAAUAAAUAGAAAAAAUUAUGAGCACAUAAACAUGAAAUCUCUUAAGCAAUCUGAGCCAAAGGCUUUAAAUUGCCAAAAUUUUCUUCAGAAGAAAACAGCGGUAGAAUACAAUUCAUCUAGGAGUAGACUGGUAUUUAUGAGUAUAGAAACAUCAAUAAAAAAUGGAGGAAAGUGGGUGGCAAAUGAUAGAAACGUGAGAUCUAGAGUGUACAGAAAGUGUGUGUGUGUGUGUGUGUGAGAGAGAGAGAGAGAGAGAGAAAGGUGGGAUAGAAGAGAGGAAAGUAAAGAACAAAGAAAACGGAAACAAAAAAGUAAAAAGCGGACAAGAGAUGAAAAGGCUAUAAAGAUUCUUUAUAACCAGAAUCAGGAAAAUCGAAAUUUUCUCGUUUACAAACAGUGGGAUGCAAUUAUAUUCUGUACACAUAGCUUUUUUGAUUUUUGAAACGUUUACAUUUUACUAUAGAUUAAUAUGUUCCAAAGACAUUAGAUAACUAUAAACCACAUUUUAACCUAAUUUCCUCGUACUAACUUAUAUAGUCUUCUCCAUCUGUUUUACUUAUAAACUAGGACUUAACAUAUCUUCAUCCUAAGAAUAACUUAAUCUUUAAACAUUAUAAAUAUUUACAAAACUACGUCCCCACAAAGGGACAUACUAUUUUCUAUAGGCUUAGAUAUGGCUAUGUGGAUAACAAGUUCGCUUACCACCCACUUUUCUCCGACUUUUAUUGGUGUUUCCAUACUCUUAAAUACAAGUCUAUUUGCCAGAGAAACGGUAUUCUACCUCCUCUUUCUUCUAAAGAAAAAUUCUGAAAACCAAACCUAUAGCGUGGAUUCAUAUGAGACAUGUUUUUUUCUUAUAAUUUUGUUUUUUACUUAUUUGAUGCGUGUUACUUCAUUAGUAUGCCCGACCCACUUGUUUUUGUGUAAUACAUAAUAUGUAUUGCAACAAACAGUCGCUGAAUCUUUGAAACAGUUGUAAAGAAUUAUCUUGGAGUAUUUUCGCUUCAGUUGUUAUAUUUUGGCUAUUUUUAACGUUUUUGCAAAUUAUAUAUAUAUAAAAAAAGUACUGUGCCAUAUACACAUGUUUGUCCAUCUUUUAUUUCUAUCAGUCUGUCCGUCUGUCUCUCACACAUACACACAUACAUAUACACACUCAUACCUCAGUACUACGGACCUCCCUUUAACAGAUUUCGGAAGCAGCGGACAAAAUCACGGCAUAUUAACAACGUUUCUUCACCAUCCAUGAAGUCCGUGCUUGCGUCUAGGAUGAAAUUGUUGCCUAAAUUAAGUCCCAUGGAGGAAGAACAAAAUUGCUCCUUAAGAAAGGCAUUUUAGAAAAUGGACAUGCCAUAUGAAAUAACCAGAAAAUUUUUGCGAGGAUAACUUACCACCAAACAAAUUCUCUCUGAUAAUGAUACAGCCAAGAUGAAAUGUUGUCAGUUAAUCAAAGGACAAUUCUCUUAUCCAGUAUCACUGUUUUUCAUGUAAAUGCUCUGAUCAAGCAGCAUAGCUGUGUUAUUUGGAGAUAUGAAAGUACCAAACGCUAUACUGAAAAAAAAACAACCCCUUUAACAUCUAGUAUCAAUAUCUGAACUGCAAUAUUUCAAAAUAAGUUGAUUAGACUGAUUUUUGCUUUUGGGGAAUGCACAACAAAAUUUAUUUAGCCACGUUGAAUAACUAUUUUAUAACAACAUUUAAACAACUGAUGAUUGAACAGAACCUAUAUCCAACAGGAUGGAAGUUCUUUAGAAUGGGAACUCCAAAUAAAGGAGUUUCUAAAUUGCCCAUUUCAUGAAAAAUGGACUAUCCAUUCUGUUUCAACUGCUUGGCCUACAAGAAACCCUGAACAUUUAUUUACGAAGUGUAAUUAAGGCAGAGAUUUACGAGAGAAAACCUCUAAAUGUUGGUUUCAAAUUUUGACACAAGGCUAGCAAUUUCGGACCAGUGCUCAACUGAGACUUAUUUUAUUGACCCCGAAAGGCAGAAUUUGAAUUAGACGAAAUACCUCUAAGCAUUUUGACCGGCGUGCUAACAUUUCUGCCCUAAAAAGCCUAAAAAUAUUAAUGAGAUGAAUACAUUUACAAAGGAAGAAUUUGAUCAUCAAAACGACUCAAACCUAUUUUUGAUACUAUGGUUCAUCGAUUUUCCCCCUUUUAUUAAAGUUGAAGGACGAUAUAUCCAGCAUAAAUAACAGUACAGUAUAGCAUUAACAUUUUUAGACAUUCCUUUUGUUUCAAUAAACUUCUUCUUACAUAAACUAUAA